UCAGUGAGGCAUAAUGGAGAAGAAACCAGCUCAAGGGCAAAGCUGCUCAGCUGAAGAAAGUGAGAGGAAGCAGGGCCACCGAACUUGAUCUGCUAAUGUCUAGAUCGAAAAAUGUUCCCUGACAAAGUAUCAACUCCUUCCUUACCCCUUCCUGCAGAUGAAACUCCAUCAGGUGCCUGGAAAUUCGUGAUCCUGGUGACAAGAAGGGUCACACACGGAAUACCUGGAGAUGCUAAGGGGCUCCCAACUUCGAAGCCACUGUGAAGCAUCUCCCAUUGCUGACCCUGUCUCAGAGUUGGCUUACUGGGGACCCACCCUGCAACAGUGAUUUGAGAACCUCCAGCACUUUGUUGACUGCAAAUGGUGAGAGCAGACAUCUUUGGUUCAUCUUUGGUUCCGACCUUAGAGGAAAAGCAUUCAUUGUUUCACACUUGGGGCCUGGCAGCUUGCAGAGCCAGCAGAUUCAACGUUAUUUGGCUGUCCAGUGGAAAGGCGCACAUGGGAAGAACGCCGUGUGAGGAGAGGAGUAAUGCUGUCACAAGCCAGUGGACCAUCAGAAGCUGGAGAGAGGCCUGGGACAGGUGCUCCCUCAGGGCCUCAGAAGGAAUCGGCCCUGCCGGCAACUUGAUCUUGGACUUCUAGCCUCCAGGAUGGUGAGACAACAACUUUCUGU
rnacentral:lncRNA from 1 species